rnacentral:rRNA from 1 species
UAGUCCACGCCGUAAACGAUGAUUACUCGCUGUUGGCGAUACACUGUCAGCGGCUAAGCGAAAGUGAUAAGUAAUCCACCUGGGGAGUACGUUCGCAAGAAUGAAACUCAAAGGAAUUGGCAGGGGCCCGCACAAGCGGUGGAGCAUGUGGUUUAAUUCGAUGAUACGCGAGGAACCUUACCAGGGCUUAAAUGUAAAAUGACCGGUCUGGAAACAGAUCUUCUCUUUGAGCAUUUUACAAGGUGCUGCAUGGUUGUCGUCAGCUCGUGCCGUGAGGUGUCGGGUUAAGUCCCUUAACGAGCGCAACCCCUAUUUCUAGUUGCCAGCGGGUAAUGCCGGGGACUCUAGAGAAACUGCCCGUGCAAACGGUGAGGAAGGUGGGGAUGACGUCAAAUCAUCACGGCCCUUACGUCCUGGGGCUACACACGUGCUACAAUGGGUCGGUACAGAGGGGCAGCUACCACGCGAGUGGGAUGCGAAUCUCGAAAACCGGGUCUC